UACGUAGGGUGCAAGCGUUAAUCGGAAUCACUGGGCGUAAAGGGCGCGUAGGCGGCCGGCCAAGUCGGGGGUGAAAGCCUGUGGCUCAACCACAGAAUGGCCCUCGAUACUGGACGGCUCGAGACCGGAAGAGGUUGGUGGAAUUGCGAGUGUAGAGGUGAAAUUCGUAGAUAUUCGCAAGAACACCGGUGGCGAAGGCGGCCAACUGGUCCGGAUCUGACGCUGAGGCGCGAAAGCGUGGGGAGCAAACAGG
rnacentral:rRNA from 1 species